rnacentral:rRNA from 1 species
AAGUAGCAUACUUUCGGUGGCGACCGGCGCACGGGUGAGUAACGCGUAUGCAACCCUUUUAAGAGAGGGGAAUAACCCGGCGAAAGUCGGACUAACUUCGCAUAAAACAGGGACACCGCAUGGUGAUAUUUGUUAAAGAAAUUCGCUGAUAGAUGGGCAUGCGUUCCAUUAGGUAGUUGGUGAGGUAACGGCUCACCAAGCCGACGAUGGAUAGGGGAACUGAGAGGUUGGUCCCCCACACUGGUACUGAGACACGGACCAGACUCCUACGGGAGGCAGCAGUGAGGAAUAUUGGUCAAUGGGCGAGAGCCUGAACCAGCCAAGUCGCGUGAAGGAAGAAGGAUCUAUGGUUCGUAAACUUCUUUUGCAGGGGAAUAAAGUGCAGGACGUGUCCUGUUUUGUAUGUACCCUGAGAAUAAGGAUCGGCUAACUCCGUGCCAGCAGCCGCGGUAAUACGGAGGAUCCGAGCGUUAUCCGGAUUUAUUGGGUUUAAAGGGUGCGUAGGUGGUUUGAUAAGUCAGCGGUGAAAGUUUGCAGCUUAACUGUAAAAAUGCCGUUGAAACUGUCGGACUUGAGUGUAAAUGAGGUAGGCGGAAUGCGUGGUGUAGCGGUGAAAUGCUUAGAUAUCACGAAGAACUCCGAUUG